GGCAGCAUGGCAUAGUGGUUUGAGUGUUGGAGUAUGACUCUAGAGACCAGGGUUUGAUUCCUCAUUUGGCCA